rnacentral:rRNA from 1 species
CCGACCAAGCGUGACAAAUACAAACCUGUCCGGGCCGAAUACCGCAGACCAGCUCCAUCUGGGCUACGUCCCGAGGUGGCGCGACAUAGAGGCGCCACACACCCCCUCUGCUUCACUGAUGAAGUAAUGGGACAUGAAUUCCUAGAAGGGUUUAAACCCGUAAACAUUGAAUCAUAUGAUGGGAAAACAGAUCCCGCGGUAUGGAUUGGGGAUUUUCUUCUCCAUAUUCAUAUGUCCCACGGUGAUGAUCUCCACGCCAUCAAAUAUCUCCCGCUAAAACUCAAGGGACUAGCUCGGCACUGGUUGAACAGUCUUCUCGAAAACUCCAUCGGAAGUUGGGAAGACUUGGAAGAUGCUUUCCUUGACACUUCCAAGGCACCUACGUCCGACCUCCGGAUGCCGAUGACUUAA